CACAAGCCUGGUCCUGACUUUAACCUCAGCCGUGGCCUAUAUUACACAUGCAAGCCCCCGCACACCUGUGAGAAUGCCCUACACCCCCUGCCCGGGGGGAAGGAGCCGGCAUCAGGCACACCCCCUGUAGCCCAAGACGCCUUGCUUAGCCACACCCACAUGGGAGAUCAGCAGUGAUAAACAUUAAGCCAUGAGCGAAAGCUUGACUUAGUUAAGGCCAAAAGGGCCGGUUAAGCUCGUGCCAGCCACCGCGGUUAUACGAGCGGCCCAAGUUGACAUUACACGGCGUAAAGAGUGAUUAGAAGACCUACAAACUAAAGCCAAACCCUUCCCCCAAGCUGUCAUACGCUCACGGAUAGACGAAGACUUAUAACGAAAGUAGCUUUAACAAAUUUGAACUCACGAGAGUCGAGGGACAAACUGGGAUUAGAUACCCCACUAUGCUCAACUUUAAACGACGACGGCCAAAUACCAGGGCCGUCCGCCAGGGGACUACGAGCAACAGCUUAAAACCCAAAGGACUUGGCGGUGCUUCAAACCCACCUAGAGGAGCCUGUUUUAUAACCGAUAAUCCUCGUUAAACCUCACCACACCUUGCCAAUACCCGCCUAUAUACCGCCGUCGUCAGCUUACCUCCUGAGAGGACUAUAGUAAGCCAAAGGGGCUGCGCCCAGCACGUCAGGUCGAGGUGUAGCGAAUGGUGUGGGACAAAAUGGGCUACAUUUUCUGGUUCAGAAGACACGGAGGACACCAUGAAAAACGCAACUGAAGGUGGAUUCAGCAGUAAAGGGGGAGUAGAGUGCCCCUUUGAAUAAGGCUCUGAAGCGCGUACACACCGCCCGUCACUCUCCUCGAACAAUAGACACUAAGUAAAUAACAAAAACACCAAGUAAAGAGGAGGCAAGUCGUAACAAGGUAAGUGUACCGGAAGGUGCACUUGGAAAAAU
rnacentral:ncRNA from 1 species